CGCCUGGACGCCCACAGUUUCCUUGUAGCGUCGUGGAAGAUUGUCAAGGGUUGUUGUACUGUCGAGUUUUCCUCGAUUUUCUCGCUCAAAUAUUGCGGCACUCCAUCCAGAUUACCCAUCUGAUAACUCAUAGUUACAAACUUGUACAAAUGCUGAAAAGUAAUCCAAUCAAACUCCCAAGCAGAAGAUUGGAACGACAAUCGACAAACGACAGCGCAUAGUACAAGUGAAUUCGGAAUAUAUAUUCAAGGCAGUUGUUGGUUGAUCGGAUCGAUCGAUUUCAAGAAACUGCAAUACAACGAUGGCGAUGGCGACGUUCACUUAAGUUCUUGUAGACCAGACGAGAAGAGGUAUAUUACAGUAUAAUCAGCAUAAAGAGAAACCUCACAAUGCUUUACCACAGAUGUUAAGUCGUUGACAUAGAUGAUAAAUAACAAUGGCCCAAGCACGCUUCCUUGUGGGACACCAACUGUAACCCCCUUAGAGGACGAAAAUUCAUUUUGGAUUGCUGUGACGUGUGUCCUUUCUGAUAGUUGAAAAAAUGUUACAUCAAGGGCAGCAAGGUCAGAAGAGGUCAUCAGCUGAUGUCCAGCCAGGUUGGUUUUCUGAAUUUGAGUUGGAUUUAUUGAACUGCAGUUCAUAAUGAAUUAAUGUAUUUUUUACGCAACACUUUCUAGUAAAUUCUUAAAACCUUUU